rnacentral:rRNA from 1 species
UACAGAGGUCCCAAGCGUUGUUCGGAUUCCUUGGGCGUAAAGGGUGCGUAGGUGGCAUCGUAAGUCGGGUGUGAAAUCUCGGGGCUUAACUCCGAAACUGCAUUCGAUACUGCGGUGCUUGAGGACUGGAGAGGAGACUGGAAUUUACGGUGUAGCAGUGAAAUGCGUAGAGAUCGUAAGGAAGACCAGUGGCGAAGGCGGGUCUCUGGACAGUUCCUGACACUGAGGCACGAAGGCCAGGGGAGCAAACGGG